rnacentral:SRP_RNA from 1 species
GUGGGCGCGGUGGCGUAUGCCUGUAGCCCCAGCUACUCGGGAAGCUGAGGUGGGAGGAUCGCUUGAGUCCAGGAGUUCUGGGCUGUAGUGCGCUAUGCCAAUCUGAUGUCUGCACUAAGUUUGGCAUCAAUAUGGUGACCUCCCAGAAGCGGGGAACCACCAGGUUGCCUAAGGAGGGGUGAAGCGACCCAGGUAGGAAACGGAGCAGGUCAAAACUCCCGUGCUGAUCAGUAGUGGGAUCAUGCCUAUGAAUAGCCACUGCACUCCAGCCUGGGCAACAUAGCGAGACCCCGUCUCA